GGGGAGGUAAGGUCGGCGAUAGCCCCUCCGGCCGAAACGAUGAGGCUCACGUAAGUGGGGUGGGAUGGAGUAGGCCGGGGCUCCCC
rnacentral:sRNA from 12 species